UACGGGGGGAGCAAGCGUUGUUCGGAUUUACUGGGCGUAAAGGGUGCGUAGGCGGUCGUGCAAGUCGGAUGUGAAAUCUCAGGGCUCAACCCUGAAACUGCAUUCGAUACUGCGCGGCUAGAGUGCUGGAGGGGAGACUGGAAUUUACGGUGUAGCAGUGAAAUGCGUAGAUAUCGUAAGGAAGACCAGUGGCGAAGGCGAGUCUCUGGACAGCAACUGACGCUGAGGCACGAAGGCCAGGGGAGCAAACGGG
rnacentral:rRNA from 1 species